AGAGUUUGAUCAUGGCUCAGAUUGAACGCUGGCGGCAUGCCUUACACAUGCAAGUCGAACGGCAGCACGGGGGCAACCCUGGUGGCGAGUGGCGAACGGGUGAGUAAUACAUCGGAACGUGCCCGGAAGUGGGGGAUAACGUAGCGAAAGUUACGCUAAUACCGCAUAUUCUGUGAGCAGGAAAGCAGGGGAUCGCAAGACCUUGCGCUUUCGGAGCGGCCGAUGUCGGAUUAGCUAGUUGGUGAGGUAAAAGCUCACCAAGGCGACGAUCCGUAGCUGGUCUUAGAGGAUGAUCAGCCACACUGGGACUGAGACACGGCCCAGACUCCUACGGGAGGCAGCAGUGGGGAAUUUUGGACAAUGGGCGAAAGCCUGAUCCAGCCAUGCCGCGUGAGUGAAGAAGGCCUUCGGGUUGUAAAGCUCUUUCGGACAGAAAGAAAUCGCAUCGGCUAAUACUCGAUGUGGAUGACGGUACUGUCAUAAGAAGCACCGGCUAACUACGUGCCAGCAGCCGCGGUAAUACGUAGGGUGCGAGCGUUAAUCGGAAUUACUGGGCGUAAAGCGUGCGCAGGCGGUUUUGAAAGACAGGCGUGAAAUCCCCGGGCUCAACCUGGGAACUGCGCUUGUGACUUCAAGACUAGAGUACGGCAGAGGGGGGUAGAAUUCCACGUGUAGCAGUGAAAUGCGUAGAGAUGUGGAG
rnacentral:rRNA from 1 species